CAGUCGCCGCGGUAAUACGAAGGGUGCAAGCGUUACUCGGAAUUACUGGGCGUAAAGCGUGCGUAGGUGGUGGUUUAAGUCCGUUGUGAAAGCCCUGGGCUCAACCUGGGAAUUGCAGUGGAUACUGGGUCACUAGAGUGUGGUAGAGGAUAGUGGAAUUUCCGGUGUAGCAGUGAAAUGCGUAGAGAUCGGAAGGAACAUCUGUGGCGAAGGCGACUAUCUGGGCCAACACUGACACUGAGGCACGAAAGCGUGGGGAGCAAACAGGAUUAGAUACCCCGGAGUCCCUGUCUCUUAUACA
rnacentral:rRNA from 1 species